rnacentral:piRNA from 1 species
UUCUUCAGGACUCUCUUGGUGUUACUUUGU